GAAUUAGGGGCCAAAAAGGGGCAGAAAACAAGCAUUUUUCUUGUUUCAUGACAAUAACUUGUGUGUAAGUGUAUGGAUCUCUCUGACAUUGUAUCACAAGGUUCCAUAACACAAAGGGAAUGCUGGGAUUGAUUUUGGGGGUAAUUGCCCACAAAUUUUAGGAAUUAGGGGCCAAAAAGGGGCCAAAAACAAGCAUUUUUCUAGUUUCAUGACAAUAACUUGUGUGUAAGUGUAUGGAUCUUUAUGAAAUUGUACAACAAGGUUCCAUAUCACAAAGGGAAAGCUGGGUUUGAGUUUGGGGGUAAUUGCCCUUAACGUUUAGGAAUUUGGGGCCAAAAACAAGCAUUUUUUUCUAGUUUCCAGACAAUAACUUGUGUUCAAGUGUAUGGAUCUCUCUGAAAUUGUACUGCAAGGUACCAUACCACAAAGGGAAGGCUGGGAUUGAGUUUGGGGGUGAUGAAUCAUAAGGGGGUUCAAAAAAUUUGGGGGGGAUUUUUUUUUCCUUUUUUUUCUUUAAAAUUUUCCAUUUUAAAUUGGUUAUUUCUGAUUUAUAUAUAAAAGCAAAUAAUAAUGAUAUGGUUUGAAUAGGUAAAUUAAAAAAUUUUAAGUUCUUA